GUAAUACCGGGUAAUAUCCCUUGGUCGCAUGGCCGAGGGCUCAAAGGUCCGCCGGUCUGGGAGCGGGCGAUUUCGUAUCAGCUAGUUGGUGAGGUAACGGCUCACCAAGGCGACGACGCGUAGCCGGACUGAGAGGUUGGCCGGCCACAUUGGGACUGAGACACUGCCCAGACUCCUACGGGGGGCUGCAGUAACGAAUCUUCCGCAAUGCACGCAAGUGUGACGGAGCGACGCCGCGUGGAGGACGAAGUUCUUCGGAAUGUAAACUCCUGUCAGGGGAAAGAAAGUUCUGAUCUACCCCAGAGGAAGAGGCGGCUAACUCUGUGCCAGCAGCCGCGGUAAUACAGAGGCCUCGAGCGUUAGGCGGAAUCACUGGGCUUAAAGCGUGUGUAGGCGGACUUCUAAGUACCUUGUGAAAUCCCACGGCUCACCCGUGGAACUGCUGGGUAUACUGGUCGUCUUGAGCCUUCUAGGGGCUGCCGGAACAAAUGGUGGAGCGGUGAAAUGCGUAGAUAUCAUUUGGAACGCCAAUGGUGAAAACAGGCAGCUGGGGAAGUGCUGACGCUGAGACACGAAAGCCAGGGGAGCGAACG
rnacentral:rRNA from 1 species